CUCAUCUAAACUCUGGUUUCCAGUAUCUGCAGUCCUCACUUUUGCCUAGAGAGACAAACAGACAGACAGAGAAUAUAGAUGAGGAGAUGUCAACAUAGAGAAAACCAGAUUAUCAGCAGAAGUGGAUGUACUUCGCUUUUUGUUUUGCUUCAUCAAUGUCUUCUGGAAGUCCAGAUAUAUCGCAUCUUCAGGAUCCUCAUCAUCCACCUUGCUUGUUAGAACUUCAAAGAGCUGAAGCAAAUAAUUCUAAUAUGAUUUAGCCAUCACAAAACCACACUGACUCUGAUGUACUGUGGUUUGACUUUUCAAAUCUCCUGUUGUUGAUUCCUUGAGAACAGAUUCUAAACAUUUGCCUGAAAUUCAAAUAGUUGGCUCGCUAUUUUUAAAUUCCCUGUUGAAGAUGUUUAUUCUAAGUUCUUCCAUUUUUGUAGCCUCUACCAUUCCCUUUAAAUUUAUGUGUAAUGGGCACAAGGCUUUAAAAGAUCUGCUUCGAUUGCUUUGUAAGAGGCAUCAGUGGCUGAAUGAAUUCAUUCUGUCCCUGGUAUAUAAACUCAAUGUGAUCAGAAGACCAAAUUGAAUACCAUUCUGUAAAGGAGCUUUUGGGCGUAGUGACCAUAGUACAUUGAAUUUUAUAUGACGCCUGAGAACAAAACAUUUUUAUUUUGAUUUGAAAUUACAGUUAUAAACUUCAGUCCAUGCAAGUCAUGAAGGUAUAAGAGGUAAAUUGGCUUCAGUGAAUUGGAAAAAUACAUUAAAAAAUUAAUGGAA